UGCAAGUCGAGCGGACCGACGGGAGCUUGCUCCCUUAGGUCAGCGGCGGACGGGUGAGUAACACGUGGGUAACCUGCCUGUAAGACUGGGAUAACUCCGGGAAACCGGGGCUAAUACCGGAUGCUUGAUUGAACCGCAUGGUUCAAUCAUAAAAGGCGGCUUCGGCUGCCGUUUACAGAUGGACCCGCGGCGCAUUAGCUAGUUGGUGAGGUAACGGCUCACCAAGGCGACGAUGCGUAGCCGACCUGAGAGGGUGAUCGGCCACACUGGGACUGAGACACGGCCCAGACUCCUACGGGAGGCAGCAGUAGGGAAUCUUCCGCAAUGGACGAAAGUCUGACGGAGCAACGCCGCGUGAGUGAUGAAGGUUUUCGGAUCGUAAAGCUCUGUUGUUAGGGAAGAACAAGUACCGUUCGAAUAGGGCGGUACCUUGACGGUACCUAACCAGAAAGCCACGGCUAACUACGUGCCAGCAGCCGCGGUAAUACGUAGGUGGCAAGCGUUGUCCGGAAUUAUUGGGCGUAAAGCGCGCGCAGGCGGUUUCUUAAGUCUGAUGUGAAAGCCCCCGGCUCAACCGGGGAGGGUCAUUGGAAACUGGGGAACUUGAGUGCAGAAGAGGAGAGUGGAAUUCCACGUGUAGCGGUGAAAUGCGUAGAGAUGUGGAGGAACACCAGUGGCGAAGGCGACUCUCUGGUCUGUAACUGACGCUGAGGCGCGAAAGCGUGGGGAGCGAACAGGAUUAGAUACCCUGGUAGUCCACGCCGUAAACGAUGAGUGCUAAGUGUUAGAGGGUUUCCGCCCUUUAGUGCUGCAGCAAACGCAUUAAGCACUCCGCCUGGGGAGUACGGUCGCAAGACUGAAACUCAAAGGAAUUGACGGGGGCCCGCACAAGCGGUGGAGCAUGUGGUUUAAUUCGAAGCAACGCGAAGAACCUUACCAGGUCUUGACAUCCUCU
rnacentral:rRNA from 1 species